CCCUUCACUGUAAAUAGAACAUUAUCUUAGCCUUUUUACCACUUUUACAAGCUCAAAACACUCUCUAAAACACCACUAAACUCAGCUGAGUUUCAGCAGAUUACAACAGAAAGUUCCAGCCAUUCUAAGGUGACUCGGUGUUCCAUCCUCAGCUUACUCAACACUUCACGGGAUUAUCGAGUUUGAAGCUUGCAAAACCGUUGAUGAUGUUGAUUAUGAUGAAAUCUAGUAGGGACGACACUAGAAACGCAUCUUUAAAUUACUAGAUUUUUUACUUUAUUUUGAUUGAACUUGUCGUAUUUGUUUUCCAAUGUUGUACUUUGACUUUUCAUGAUUCUUUGA
rnacentral:lncRNA from 1 species